ACGUAGGGGGCGAGCGUUAUUCGGAAUUACUGGGUGUAAAGGGUAUGUAGGCGGCCCUUCAAGUCGCGUGUCAAAGUCCAGUGCUCAACGCUGGGUGUGCGCGCGAUACUGACGGGCUUGAGUGCUGGAGAGGGGAACGGAAUUCCCGGUGUAGUGGUAAAAUUCGUAGAGAUCGGGAGGAACACCAGCGGCGAAGGCGGUUUACUAGACUGUUACUGACGCUAAGAUGCGAAAGCGUGGGGAGCAAACAG
rnacentral:rRNA from 1 species